GUAUUGUUCCUUUUCCUAGAAGGUCCUCUUUUACUGUAUGUACUACUAUGGUCAUGCGAUUGAAAGAACCUCUACAGCUGAGUGUGUUUCCUAGAGGGGAAUCAGCUUUGAGUGAUCUAUUUGCAUAACUUCAGUUAGCUGUUUCUC